rnacentral:rRNA from 1 species
UACGUAGGGUGCGAGCGUUUGUCCGGAAUUAUUGGGCGUAAAGAGCUUGUAGGCGGUUUGUCGCGUCUGCUGUGAAAAUCCGGGGCUCAACCCCGGACUUGCAGUGGGUACGGGCAGACUAGAGUGUGGUAGGGGAGACUGGAAUUCCUGGUGUAGCGGUGAAAUGCGCAGAUAUCAGGAGGAACACCGAUGGCGAAGGCAGGUCUCUGGGC